CAUGGCUCAGAUUGAACGCUGGCGGCAGGCCUAACACAUGCAAGUCGAACGGUAGCACAGAGGAGCUUGCUCCUUGGGUGACGAGUGGCGGACGGGUGAGUAAUGUCUGGGAAACUGCCCGAUGGAGGGGGAUAACUACUGGAAACGGUAGCUAAUACCGCAUAACGUCGCAAGACCAAAGAGGGGGACCUUCGGGCCUCUUGCCAUCGGAUGUGCCCAGAUGGGAUUAGCUAGUAGGUGGGGUAACGGCUCACCUAGGCGACGAUCCCUAGCUGGUCUGAGAGGAUGACCAGCCACACUGGAACUGAGACACGGUCCAGACUCCUACGG
rnacentral:rRNA from 1 species